rnacentral:misc_RNA from 1 species
AACGCAUCUUGCGCUUGCUGGUAUUCCGGCAAGCAUGCCUGUUUGAGUGUCAUGAAACUUAUCAACCGUGACUUGGGUUUAGGCCCCUGGCUCGGCUUGGAUUUGGGUGCUUGCGGCCUCGUGCCGCUCACCUUAAAAGGAUUAGCUGGACAUGUCGUGAGACUUGGUUCUACUUGGCGUAAUAAGUAUUUCGCUGAGGACAUCCCCUCGUGGGGUGGCCAUGACUCUGGUACAAACGUCUGCUUUCUAACCCGAUCGUCCUCGGACAUCACUUUUUAUGAUCUGGCCUCAAAUCAGGUAGGACUACCCGCUGAACUUAA